ACCCGCUGAAUUUAAGCAUAUAAGUAAGCAGAGGACAGCAAACUGAAAAGGAUUCCUCUAGUAAUAGCGAAUGAACCAGGAAGAGCUCAUAGUGACACUCUGGACUUGGGUCUUGUCUUGUACUGUAUAGACGCCAUGCCAAUGGAAGUGGGCAUGUGUGCCUGGUGGGAAAGAGCAGCAUUGAAGGUGAAACUCCUUUGCAACAUGACCAUCCUUCCUUGCUUGGCUGGCACCCUUGAGUCGCGUUCUUUGGCAAUGGAUCGCAAAGGUGGUGGUAGAGUUCAUCUAGAGCUUGAUAGCGGCUUGGGUCCGAUAGCAAACAAGUACCAUGAGGGAAAUGUGAAAAGAACUUUGAAAAGAAAGUUAAAUGUACAUGAAAUUGCUGCAAACAAAGCGUAUGAUGUUUUGAGUUGCGUUACAAGAUUGGAGUGUAUUGAUACGUGUAUGCACUGCUACUUUGUAGCAACUUCUUCUGUGUUUUGCACUUUGUGUCUUGUCCGCUUCUUGGGCCAUGUUGCAUUUCCAAUUUCUGUUGCGCAUUACCUGUGGCCUGGCUUGGUUGUGCUGCACUUUAUGUUGUCGUUGCUGCUUGGCUGUGCCCAUGCCAGUGACCCUCUGUCUUGUUGGACAAGGAUGCUUGGCAACUGUGCAUGUUAAAUUUCAUACGACCCGUCUUGAAACACGGACUAAGGAGUCUAAUGCAUGUGCAAGCUUGGGGAUGUCUUUGUUUGGCUGAAUCAACAUCAAAGUUGGGAACCGUGCACCGACAGCCAAUUGAUCAUGUGAGAGAGGUUUGAGUUUGAGUGUGUGCAUUAGGACCCGAAAGAUGGUGAACUAUGCUUGGGAAGAAUAAAUUCAGGGGAAACCCUGAUGGAGGUUCGCAGCGCUAUUGACGUGCAAAUCGUUCGUCAUACUUGGGUAUAGGGGCGAAAGACUAAUCGAACCAUCUAGUAGCUGGUUCCCUCUGAAGUUUCCCUCAGGAUAGCUGGAGUUGCAUAGUUUCAUCAGGUAAAGCGAAUGACUGGAGGAAUUGGGGGCGUGAUGCCUUUGACCUAUUCUCAAACUUUAAAUGGGUAAGACUACUGGUUGUUUUGUGAACCUGUGGGGAAAUGUGAACUCUAUGUGGGCCGCUUUUGGUAAGCAGAAUUGGCGAUGAGGGGUGAACCUAACGUUAGGAUAAUGAGCUGCAGUGCCCGCUCAUUGGACACCAUAAAAGGUGUUGGUUCAUAUGAACAGCAGGACGGUGGUCAUGGAAGUCGAAAUCUGCUAAGGAAUGUGUAACAACUCACCUGCCGAAUGGACCAGCCCUGAAAAUGGAUGGCGCUCAAGCGUGCAACAGAUACCUUACCACUGUUUGUAACUCGAUGAUGUAGUGCGUAGGUGGGUGCAAUAGCUUGUAAUGAAUCUUGGGUGCAAACCGUGGUGUAAUAACUAUUGCUGCAGAUCUUGGUGGUAGUAGC
rnacentral:rRNA from 1 species